UACGGAGGGGGCUAGCGUUGUUCGGAAUUACUGGGCGUAAAGCGCACGUAGGCGGCUUUGUAAGUUAGAGGUGAAAGCCCGGGGCUCAACCCCGGAAUUGCCUUUAAGACUGCAUCGCUUGAACGUCGGAGAGGUGAGUGGAAUUCCGAGUGUAGAGGUGAAAUUCGUAGAUAUUCGGAAGAACACCAGUGGCGAAGGCGGCUCACUGGACGACUGUUGACGCCGAGGUGCGAAAGCGUGGGGAGCAAACAGG
rnacentral:rRNA from 1 species